GACGUAGGGCGCGAGCGUUGUCCGGAUUUAUUGGGCGGAAAGAGCUCGUAGGCGGCUUGUCGCGUCAACUGUGAAAACCCGUGGCUCAACCAUGUGGUCUGCAGUCGAUACGGGCAGGCUAGAAUUCGGUAGGGGAGAGUGGAAUUCCCGGUGGAGCGGUGAAAUGCGUAGAGAUCGGGAAGAACGCCGGCGGCGAAAGCGACUCUCUGGUCGGACCCUGACGCUGAGGCGCGAAAGCUAGGGGAGCAAACGGG
rnacentral:rRNA from 1 species